GAAAGCCUUGACACCAACGACUAUAACCAUGGUGUGCAGUCUAGAAUGUGUCCCCUCUAGGCGACGUCGCCUCUGUGCUGGGACGCUAUGUCACGAUAGCGGAUCAGCAGCCAGUUUUCUGGUCCACAGAUUAGGUGGUGACGGUCUCGGUUGGUUGAGCUGAGAUCAAGAUAUAAUCGGUCGUCACGGCUAGCAGCUAUGGCCAAAUAACGUUCCGUAGGUGAACCUGCGGAAGGAUCAUUAUCGAGUUAGGGUUCUCUGGGCCCCAUCUCCAACCCUUGUCUAUCCUACCAUGUUGCUUUGGCGGGCCCGUCCUCGACCGGACCGCUGGGGACUCACCUCCCUGGCCCGUGCCCGUCAGUAGCCCCCACAAAUUCUCCUCACGGUGAUACCUAAGUAUAACUAUAAUAACUAAAACUUUCAACAACGGAUCUCUUGGUUCUGGCAUCGAUGAAGAACGCAGCGAAAUGCGAUAAGUAAUGCGAAUUGCAGAAUUCCGUGAGUCAUCGAAUCUUUGAACGCACAUUGCGCCCUCUGGCAUUCCGGAGGGCAUGCCUGUUCGAGCGUCAUUAUCAACCCUCAAGCUCGGCUUGCUGUUGGGUCUCGCCGUUCCCGUGACGGCGGAUCCGAAAGAUAAUGGCAGAGUCCGCGGGACCCUAGAUGCAACGAGCUUCUAGCACGCGUCUGGAUGGUUUCCGGGUUUGGUCUUAACUAAACAUUUCUUCUGGUUGACCUCGGAUCAGGUAGGGAUACCCGCUGAACUUAAGCAUAUCAAUAAGCGGAGGAAAAGAAACCAACAGGGAUUGCCUCAGUAACGGCGAGUGAAGCGGCAACAGCUCAAAUUUGAAAUCUGGCUCCGUUGGGGGCCCGAGUUGUAAUUUGUAGAGGAUGCUUCGGGCAAGGCUGUGGUCUAAUUCGCUUGGAACAGCGAGUCAGAGAGGGUGAGAAUCCCGUCUAGGAUCGUAAAGCCGCGUCCAUGUGAAGCUCCUUCGACGAGUCGAGUUGUUUGGGAAUGCAGCUCUAAAUGGGUGGUAAAUUUCAUCUAAAGCUAAAUAUGGGCCAGAGACCGAUAGCGCACAAGUAGAGUGAUCGAAAGAUGAAAAGCACUUUGAAAAGAGAGUUAAACAGUAUGUGAAAUUGUUGAAAGGGAAGCGCUUGCAAUCAGACUUGUGACUGACGGUUCCCCCGGCCUUGUGGCCGGGCUACUCCGUCACGUCCAGGCCAACAUCGGUUUGGGUGGUCGGUGAAAGACCCCGGGAAUGUAUCUACCUUCGGGUCGACUUAUAGCCCGGGGUGUAAUGCGGCCCACCCGGACCGAGGAACGCGCUCCGGCUCGGAUGUUGGCGUAAUGGUUGUCAGCGGCCCGUCUUGAAACACGGACCAAGGAGUCUAACAUCUAUGCGAGUGUUUGGGUGUUAAACCCCUACGCGGAAUGAAAGUGAACGGAGGUAAGAACCCCGUCAGGGGCGCAUUAUCGACCGAUCCUGAUGUCUUCGGAUGGAUUUGAGUAAGAGCAUAGCUGUUGGGACCCGAAAGAUGGUGAACUAUGCAUGAAUAGGGUGAAGCCAGAGGAAACUCUGGUGGAGGCUCGCAGCGGUUCUGACGUGCAAAUCGAUCGUCAAAUUUGUGCAUAGGGGCGAAAGACUAAUCGAACCAUGGUUAAAGUGCGCCUGUCAGGUGUCUAUCAGGUGGUUCUCCACCAGUCCUCCGGGGCAACAUCGUCCUUCUGGCGGGGGAGUCAUCACCCGCAGCAGUUUGAUCAUAACUGUCCACAGACUAGGAGA
rnacentral:rRNA from 1 species